ensembl:lncRNA
ACAGCAAGUGCAAUGGACUAAACAGCAAUGGCCUAAAUAACAAUGGUCUAAACAGCAAUGGCCUAAACAGCAAUGGUCUAAACAGCAAUGGCCUAAACAGCAAUGGCCUAAACAGACUGCAUUUAAAGUAUCAAUGUAUUCAUAUCGCUGAGGGAGAAAAAAAGGCAGCAGCAGCAAAAACAGGAAAUGCUGUUAAACAGAAAGUUCAUACCAAAUACGUCAGAAAGCCCCAGAACCGCAUACGCUUUAUUUCAAGAACUGCCAUCUCUAAGUUUAGCCUGAGCAACAAUUGGUUUACUGUCUACAGGCUUGGCUCUCACAAGUUGUGCGAUGAUUAUCCUACUAAUUAUUCUUGUUGUAAUUACUGCGACUGAGGAGCAUUCCACAGUUACAGCUAGAGAUCCGGUAUAUCCUGCACGCGUUUUUGGACAUUCUCAUGUUAAAGUGGGGGAAUGUUUUGAGCUGAAGUGCAGCACAUUUGGAACGAAGAAUGAAGGGGAAAAACGCUUUGUUUACCUCUGCAAGAAUGGAGUCGCCAUAGAGAUGUCCCAGACCAAAAGUCAAGACUCCUCUUUCCUAAUGAAAAGUGCCACUAAGGAACAUACAGGAAACUACAGUUGUCUGUCCUCCAGAACAGAACAGAAUGUCAGUGAGGUGAAAGGAGAUGGAGAGAAUUCCAUCUUCAUCCAAGUGAUUGAUAGAGUAUACCCAGCAGUGAUAGCUGGUGAAACAUCUGUGAGAUCAGGGACAGAUGUGGAUUUCAACUGCACCUCAGAAGAUGCCCCAGACACAGGCCUCCUUUUGGCAUUCCUCUGGAGGAAUCAAACCAUCGUUGACAUUGAAAUGUGGAAUUCUCAGCAGAAACAGGCUAGUUUCCAUCUAAUAGGAGUCCAGGAGAGAGACUCGGGCAACUAUAGCUGUGUGGUAUCAGAGCGACCGCUUGCUGCAACAGAGUUGGACAUGUGUGGAGGGAAUUCAGUCUUCCUGCAGGUUUACGGUAAGAAUUGCAAAAAUAUUAACACCAUGCCUCAAACUAAAGUUAGACAGUAGGCUGUGUGGGACAUGUGUUGUAGUGUUUAUUAUGAGAAGGCUAAUAUGUGAGUACAUGCAGAGUAUACAAUUCUUAC